GAUGAACGCUGGCGGCGUGCCUAAUACAUGCAAGUCGAGCGAACAGACGAGGAGCUUGCUCCUCUGACGUUAGCGGCGGACGGGUGAGUAACACGUGGAUAACCUACCUAUAAGACUGGGAUAACUUCGGGAAACCGGAGCUAAUACCGGAUAAUAUAUUGAACCGCAUGGUUCAAUAGUGAAAGACGGUUUUGCUGUCACUUAUAGAUGGAUCCGCGCCGCAUUAGCUAGUUGGUAAGGUAACGGCUUACCAAGGCGACGAUGCGUAGCCGACCUGAGAGGGUGAUCGGUCACACUGGAACUGAGACACGGUCCAGUCUCCUACGGGAGGCAGCAGUAGGGAAUCUUCCGCAAUGGGCGAAAGCCUGACGGAGCAACGCCGCGUGAGUGAUGAAGGUCUUCGGAUCGUAAAACUCUGUUAUUAGGGAAGAACAAAUGUGUAAGUAACUAUGCACGUCUUGACGGUACCUAAUCAGAAAGCCACGGCUAACUACGUG
rnacentral:rRNA from 1 species